rnacentral:rRNA from 1 species
CAGAGAUAACCUGUGAAGCUUCACUAUUCCCUUGGAUUGGCAUUGGGCCUUUCCUAGCGCAGAUUUAGAUGAUGAGCUCAAAUUAACCCUGUGUCAAAACCUAUGGGCCAAGGAACAAACUCAAGUAAAAAGUUUCUAUGGGGCGUAGGCCUGCCAAAAAGAUAACGAAGGCGUGUUACCUCAGGCCAGACAGAGAUUGGCCCUUGAGUGCAAAAGCCAGAAGGGAGCUUGAGUGUAAGACCAAUCCGUCAAGCAGGGACAAAAGUCGUCCUUAGUGAUCUGACGGUGCCAAGUUAAAGAACCGUAGAGCUACGGAUAAAAUUCACUUUAGGGAUAACAUGGUGAUCUUCCCUAAGAGCUCACAUCGAUCGAACCAGACAACUACUGAUAUCUAAAAAUAUCAGUUCUUA